GGAUGCGAUCAUACCAGCACUAAAGCACCUGAUCCCAUCAGAACUCCGAAGUUAAGCGUGCUUGGGCGAGAGUAGUACUAGGAUGGGUGACCUCCUGGGAAGUCCUCGUGUUGCAUCCC
rfam:Oryza sativa Japonica Group DNA, chromosome 11, cultivar: Nipponbare, complete sequence.